UCGAUUCCUUAACCGGAAGUAAGAAACGAUGUGCUCGAAGAGACUACCAGAGAGAUAUGAAUCAAUAUCGCGUGAAUGAUACAUCAUGAUUCGCUGGAACAAGACGACGGCCGGUAGGAUUUGGAGACUAUGAAUUUGGCAUCAGGUGACCAAAGAAGACCAGGAUUUCGAACGAAGCUCUCCUCACAACUAUGUUGCAACACCGCAAUUUAAACAAGUAAAAUCAACGUUGCCAGACUUCUCCUAACAUCUACUUGUUGGCCAUUUGGAACUGAAAUUCUCGCUACUUUCACCCGAAUAAAUCAAUCGUCAUCUGAUCCACCGGUACAGAAUCAUCAUUUUGAUUUCUAUUAAAACAAAUACGGCACCCAAAAAGGCAUGUUAUUUACGGGUAGCUUUGAUGCCCCAGCCCCGAACUCGGGCUUGUACAAAAAAUGGGGCACGCGCGCAUGCGCAACAUUUGAUCCAGUAACGAGAUCACUGCACACUACACGUGUAUCAUCUUUUCUUAAUAUCCGAACUUGAUUUUUACAGUA